rnacentral:tRNA from 4 species
GCAGGCAUGGCUCAACUGGAUAGAGUAUCUGACUACGAAUCAGACGGUUGUAGGUUCGAAUCCUACUGCUUGCA